UUCUUAAUGAAUUUAUAUUAAGUACACCCUGCUCAAUGAAACUAAAUGGCUGCAGAAUUUUUACUGUACUAAGGUAGCAAAAUAAUUUGCCUUAUAAUUGAAGGCUAGAAUAAAAGGGAUUACGAAAAAACUUCUGUUUCUUAAUUUAUUAUUGAACUUAUUUUUAUAAUAAAAAUUAUUAUAAAAAAAAAGAAAGACGACAAGACCCUAUCGAACUUAACUUAAGUUUAGUUGGGGUGACUUUUCAAAGAACAAUUUCUUCUUUUUUAUAAUUAAAAAUUAUAACAAGUUACCGUAGGGAUAACAGUAUAAUUUUAUUUUAGAGAUCAUAUCAAAAAUAUAGAUUAUUACCUCGAUGUUGAAUAAAUUGACUUUUAAAAGAAAAAGUUUAAAUAGUAAGUCUGUUCGACUUUUAAAAUUUUACA
rnacentral:rRNA from 1 species